rnacentral:rRNA from 1 species
GUUUGAUCCUGGCUCAGGAUGAACGCUGGCGGCGUGCCUAACACAUGCAAGUCGAACGGAGAUACGCGGAAUGCGGAUUCGUCCAAAUGAAACGUAUACUUAGUGGCGGACGGGUGAGUAACGCGUGGAUAACCUGCCUUUUCCGGGGGAUAGCAGUUGGAAACGACUGGUAAUACCGCAUAAGCUUCCUUUGAGGCAUCUCAGAGGGAGGAAAGAUUUAUCGGGAGAAGAUGGAUCCGCGUCUGAUUAGCCAGUUGGCGGGUAACGCCCACCAAAGCAACGAUCAGUAGCCGGCCUGAGAGGGUGAACGGCCACAUUGGGACUGAGGCACGGCCCAGACUCCUACGGGAGGCAGCAGUGGGGGAUAUUGCACAAUGGGGGGAACCCUGAUGCAGCGACGCCGCGUGAAGUGAAGAAGUAUUUCGGUAUGUAAAGCUCUAUCAGCAGGGAAGAAAGGCCCAUUAUGGGAGAUGACGGUACCUGACUAAGAAGCCCCGGCUAACUACGUGCCAGCAGCAGC